rnacentral:tRNA from 1 species
GGGCGAGUGGUGAAAUGGUAGACACGCCAGACUUAGGAUCUGGUGCCGCAAGGCGUAGGAGUUCAAGUCUCCUCUUGCCCACCA